AGAUUGAACGCUGGCGGCGUGCUUAACACAUGCAAGUCGAGCGGUAACGCGGGAGCAAUCCUGGCGACGAGCGGCGAACGGGUGAGUAAUGCUUGGGAAUCUGCCCAUUAGUGGGGAACAACCAGCCGAAAGGUUGGCUAAUACCGCAUACGCCCUACGGGGGGAAAGCGGGGGAUCGUAAGACCUCGCGCUAAUGGAUGAGCCCAAGUCGGAUUAGCUUGUUGGUGAGGUAACGGCUCACCAAGGCGACGACGGGUA
rnacentral:rRNA from 1 species